rnacentral:rRNA from 1 species
GGCGGCAUGCCUAACACAUGCAAGUCGAACGCUAUUUAUAGAGUGGCGCACGGGUGAGUAACGCGUGGGAACCUGCCUUUUUCUGCGGGAUAACGGUUGGAAACGACCGCUAAUACCGCAUACGCCCUACGGGGGAAAGGUCCGCCGGAGAAAGAGGGGCCCGCGUCUGAUUAGUUAGUUGGUGGGGUAAUGGCCUACCAAGGCGACGAUCAGUAGCUGGUCUGAGAGGAUGAUCAGCCACACUGGGACUGAGACACGGCCCAGACUCCUACGGGAGGCAGCAGUGGGGAAUAUUGGACAAUGGGGGCAACCCUGAUCCAGCAAUGCCGCGUGUGUGAUGAAGGCCCUAGGGUUGUAAAGCACUUUCACUGGUGAAGAUGAUGACGGUAACCAGAGAAGAAGCCCCGGCUAACUUCGUGCCAGCAGCCGCGGUAAUACGAAGGGGGCGAGCGUUGUUCGGAAUUACUGGGCGUAAAGGGCGCGUAGGCGGUCUUUU